UACAGAGGGUGCGAGCGUUAAUCGGAAUUACUGGGCGUAAAGCGCACGUAGGCGGCUUGGUAUGUCGGGUGUGAAAUCCCCGGGCUCAACCUGGGAACUGCAUUUGUGACUGCAUGGCUAGAGUGUGGCAGAGGGGGAUGGAAUUCCGCGUGUAGCAGUGAAAUGCGUAGAUAUGCGGAGGAACACCGAUGGCGAAGGCAAUCCCCUGGGCCUGCACUGACGCUCAUGCACGAAAGCGUGGGGAGCAAACAGG
rnacentral:rRNA from 1 species